rnacentral:rRNA from 1 species
UACAGAGGGUGCAAGCGUUAAUCGGAAUUACUGGGCGUAAAGCGCGCGUAGGUGGAAAGAUAAGUCAGUUGUGAAAGCCCUGGGCUCAACCUGGGACGUGCAAUUGAAACUGUUUUUCUAGAGUGUGGUAGAGGGAAGUGGAAUUUCCGGUGUAGCGGUGAAAUGCGUAGAUAUCGGAAGGAACACCAGUGGCGAAGGCGACUUCCUGGACUAACACUGACACUGAGGUGCGAAAGCGUGGGUAGCGAACAGG